AUUGAACGCUGGCGGCAGGCCUAACACAUGCAAGUCGAGCGGAUGAAGGGAGCUUGCUCCUGGAUUCAGCGGCGGACGGGUGAGUAAUGCCUAGGAAUCUGCCUGGUAGCGGGGGAUAACGUCCGGAAACGGGCGCUAAUACCGCAUAAGUCCUGAGGGAGUAAGGGGGGGAUCUUCGGACCUUACGCUAUCAGAUGAGCCUAGGUCGGAUUAGCUAGUUGGUGGGGUAAAGGCCUACCAAGGCGACGAUCCGUAACUGGUCUGAGAGGAUGAUCAGUCACACUGGAACUGAGACACGGUCCAGACUCCUACGGGAGGCAGCAGUGGGGAAUAUUGGACAAUGGGCGAAAGCCUGAUCCAGCCAUGCCGCGUGUGUGAAGAAGGUCUUCGGGUUGUAAAGCACUUUAAGUUGGGAGGAAGGGCAGUAAGUUAAUACCUUGCUGUUUUGACGUUACCAACAGAAUAAGCACCGGCUAACUUCGUG
rnacentral:rRNA from 1 species